rnacentral:rRNA from 1 species
UACGUAGGGGGCAAGCGUUGUCCGGAUUUAUUGGGCGUAAAGAGCGUGUAGGCGGCCAGACAGGUCCGUUGUGAAAACUCGAGGCUCAACCUCGAGACGCCGAUGGAAACCGUCUGGCUAGAGUCCGGAAGAGGAGAGUGGAAUUCCUGGUGUAGCGGUGAAAUGCGCAGAUAUUGGGAGGAACACCAGUGGCGAAGGCGGCUCACUGGACCGGUACUGACGCUGAUGCGCGAAAGCGUGGGGAGCAAACGGG